UUGCAAGAGAAGGCGGGACUGUACCAGU
rnacentral:sRNA from 1 species